UACGGAGGGUGCAAGCGUUAUCCGGAUUCACUGGGUUUAAAGGGUGCGUAGGUGGAUCGGUAAGUCCGUGGUGAAAUCCCCGAGCUUAACUCGGGAACUGCCGUGGAUACUAUCGAUCUUGAAUACUGUGGAGGUAAGCGGAAUAUGUCAUGUAGCGGUGAAAUGCUUAGAUAUGACAUAGAACACCGAUAGCGAAGGCAGCUUGCUACACAGUUAUUGACACUGAGGCACGAAAGUGUGGGGAUCAAACAGG
rnacentral:rRNA from 1 species